CUCGGGUCUGGACGGAGGCGGGAAGCGGCUGUGCAGAGCGCAGGUGGCGGAUGCGCCCCGGGAGGCAGAGUUCUUCCUCUUGAAGACUCAAGAGUUUCAGUCUGAAAACUGGCCCAGACCCAGACAUUGGACAAGGGAUCAUGGCUGGAUAUUGGAGCGACUGCCCUCAGCCUCCUAAUCACCCAUCCUUGGAUUAUUUUGAUUGUACAGAUUGAGUAGCCCACUUGUUGGCUGCCCAUCUGUUUCACCCCGGGGAUCCCUUGUUCUGUGAACUGUCUCCAAAACUCACCAGGAACAGGCUGACCACAGGCAGGAAACACACCUAUAAGGUAUCCAUCACAGCUGACAGAAGGAGGGAACAAUAAAAGACCCUGGAGUCCAUCAUGCCUUAAGGGAAUCCCCUCCUUACUGUCCAUUUUCCCUAUAAAACUGCCUCAAGAUUCCGUAAUUUUUGAAGAUGGUUUUUUUGAGACAUUAGCCUGCCAUCUUUCCAAUUAUGCGGGCUAAUUGAAUGAAAACUUCCUUCCUCCAUCCCUGACUUGUCAUGAUUAAUUGGCUCAGAUCAUGGUGAGCAGAACGAGCCCACUGCUUGGUAUCAGACGUGGCGCUAGGGGAGGGAGAUGUUUGGCGCUGCCGACCCUCAAGGAAGACCUCGGCACCCCAGAGAGCUGUCCAGCUGGGGUGGCCCUUCCGAGUCGUGGUAAAUGCAGGCAAGGGGGCCUGGCCUUUAUACUCCCAUACUGAUCAGGCUGGAUGUGGGCUUCCAGGAGGGGGCCAUGAUCUUGGGCAAGGCAGUCUUCAGUGGAGGCAGUUCCAAAGAAGGUUGACAGCUGAGGGGGCCGUGGCUGACAGCAUUCCCAGCAGCUGGGGGAAUGUGUCCUUCAGUCCUGCUGAAGGGUCAUCCAGGAGGCACAUCACAGCUCCCGCUACACCACAGUACCAUUAUCUCAUGCAGCAAACUCAAGAC
rnacentral:lncRNA from 1 species